CCUUCGGGUUGUAAACCUCUUUUAGCAGGGAAGAAGCGAAAGUGACGGUACCUGCAGAAAAAGCGCCGGCUAACUACGUGCCAGCAGCCGCGGUAAUACGUAGGGCGCAAGCGUUAUCCGGAAUUAUUGGGCGUAAAGAGCUCGUAGGCGGUUUGUCGCGUCUGCUGUGAAAUCCGGAGGCUCAACCUCCGGCCUGCAGUGGGUACGGGCAGACUAGAGUGCGGUAGGGGAGAUUGGAAUUCCUGGUGUAGCGGUGGAAUGCGCAGAUAUCAGGAGGAACACCGAUGGCGAAGGCAGAUCUCUGGGCCGUAACUGACGCUGAGGAGCGAAAGGGUGGGGAGCAAACAGGCUUAGAUACCCUGGUAGUCCACCCCGUAAACGUUGGGAACUAGUUGUGGGGUCCAUUCCACGGAUUCCGUGACGCAGCUAACGCAUUAAGUUCCCCGCCUGGGGAGUACGGCCGCAAGGCUAAAACUCAAAGGAAUUGACGGGGACCCGCACAAGCGGCGGAGCAUGCGGAUUAAUUCGAUGCAACGCGAAGAACCUUACCAAGGCUUGACAUAUACGAGAACGGGCCAGAAAUGGUCAACUCUUUGGACACUCGUAAACAGGUGGUGCAUGGUUGUCGUCAGCUCGUGUCGUGAGAUGUUGGGUUAAGUCCCGCAACGAGCGCAACCCUCGUUCUAUGUUGCCAGCACGUAAUGGUGGGAACUCAUGGG
rnacentral:rRNA from 2 species